rnacentral:rRNA from 1 species
AAUUUUGGACAAUGGGGGAAACGAUGACACAGCCAACCCGCGUGUAUUAUGAAUGCCUUCGGGUAGUCCAGUACUUUUGUCAGACCCGAAAAGGUAUCUCCUAAUACGAGAUACUGCUGACGGUAUCUGCCGAAUAAGCACCGGCUAACUACGUGCCAGCAGCCGCGGUAAUACGUAGGGUGCAAGCGUUAAUCGGAAUUACUGGGCGUAAAGCGUGUGUAGGCGGUUCGGAAAGAAAGAUGUGAAAGCCCAGGGCUCAACCUUGGAACUGCAUUUUUAACUGCCGAGCUAGAGUAUGUCAGAGGGGGGUAGAAUUCCACGUGUAGCAGUGAAAUGCGUAGAUAUGUGGAGGAAUACCGAUGGCGAAGGCAGCCCCCUGGGAUAAUACUGACGCUCAGACACGAAAGCGUGGGGAGCAAACA